GGAGAUGUAGUUCAGUAGUAGAACAUGCACAUUUAGAGCAUAUCACCUCGUUCGAACUUGUCACUCGAAGGAAACGUCGUCGAUCGAUGGCAGAUAUCAACUUCUUAGAAUGUACGAGACAUGAGUUCGAUUCUCAUCAUCUCCG